rnacentral:lncRNA from 1 species
CAGGCUUUGCCGCUGGAAAGGUAUAGCAUGCCCACUAAAGCUGGAAAUUAAACAAAUAAUUCCUGCAUUGCAAGGCCUCUUUGUUAAAGGAGAUUUCAGUUUGGCUGGUCACUCACCACAGUGACUCCUUCAGCCAGUCUUUGUAUUCUUCUUAUGAUUACUGCUGCUGCAGGUGGCACGCUGUGGCUAUGAAGAGGCAGAAGAGCCGGCCUGAUCAGACAAAGAGCAGAUAGAAAGGGCUGCUAGAAUUGGAGAAGCAACAGAAGAAUGAAAAACCCUUGGUGUUAGAGCUACCAUCCAGCCCAAGAAGAGUCCACCACCUGUGAAAUAGAAACCAGAA